UCUAUUCGCCAGGGUACUACAAGCACCAGCUUAAAACCCAAAGGACUUGGCGGUGCUUUAGACCCACCUAGAGGAGCCUGUCCUAGAACCGAUACCCCCCGUUCAACCUCACCACUUCUAGCCCAAACCGCCUAUAUACCACCGUCGUCAGCUUACCCCGUGAGGGACUAAUAGUAAGCUAAACUGGCACAGCCCAAAACGUCAGGUCGAGGUGUAGCGCACGAAGUGGGAAGGAGAUGGGCUACAUUUUCUGACCCAGAAAACUACGAAAGGAAAAAAUGAAAAGACUCCUGAAGGAGGAUUUAGCAGUAAGCAGGGAAUAGAGCGCCCCACUG
rnacentral:rRNA from 1 species